rnacentral:misc_RNA from 1 species
UCACCCCUCAAGCCCCGUGCUUGGUGUUGGACGGCCGGUCGAGCGAUCGACCCCUCCGAAAGACAAUGACGGCGGCCUGUGGUUCCCCCGGUACACUGAGCUUUUCAUCGAGCACGUGUCGGAUAAGGGCGCCCGGGACCCGGUCUUCUCCUUUGUUAGGAAACUUCUAA